AUGGCCCUCAAGCAAGAAGGUGCUCAGCUCAAGUGUGAGGCUUCUAAGAAGAGAAUCAGGGAUGCAGUUCAGUCUUCUUCUUCCUCUCAAGGGGCAGCUAAGCAGCAAAAGUUCUACCUUCCUCCUCCUUUGUUUCGUCAGCCUUACCAACAGAAGAACUCAGGUGGUCGUGGAUCUUCCCACCCACCCAACCCAAGCUAUCAGAACAAGUCUCAGCCUCAAGCUCCAAGGUCAAAUGCUCUGUAUCAUCGUCCGCUCUCAGAGGUGGCUUGCAACAAGUGCCAGCAGAAAGGUCACUACGCGAACAAGUGCUUUAACCAAAGGCGCCUUCCUCCUCCUCCUGUGAGAUCUUCAAGCAAUGCAGUGGUCAAGCAUAAUCCAAAGCAUGCAAAGGUGAACAUGAUGAAUGCAGCGCAAGUAGAGGAUUCUUCUGAUGUGAUAAUGGGUAAUCUUCCAGUUAAUGAUAUUCCUGCAAAAGUCUUAUUUGAUACUGGUGCAUCACAUUGUUUUUAUGUCAAGACCGUUUUUUGCCAAGCAUGA
rnacentral:rRNA from 1 species